AGAGUUGUAUCCUGGCUCAGAACGAACGCUGGCGGCAUGCCUAACACAUGCAAGUCGAACGAUAAGCCACCUUCGGGUGGUGGACAGUGGCGCACGGGUGAGUAACACGUGGGGACCUGCCUGAUAGUACGGGACAACAGCUGGAAACGGCUGCUAAUACCGCAUACGCCCUUCGGGGGAAAGAUUUAUCGCUAUCAGAUGGACCCGCGCUAGAUUAGAUAGUUGGUGGGGUAAUGGCCUACCAAGUCGACGAUCUAUAACUGGUUUGAGAAGAUGAUCAGCCACAUUGGGACUGAGACACGGCCCAGACUCCUACGGGAGGCAGCAGUGGGGAAUAUUGUACAAUGGGGGCAACCCUGAUACAGCAAUGCCGCGUGAGUGAAGAAGGCCUUAGGGUUGUAAAACUCUUUCGCCAGGGAAGAUAAUGACGGUACCUGGUAAAGAAGUCCCGGCUAACUCCGUGCCAGCAGCCGCGGUAAUACGGAGGGGACUAGCGUUGUUCGGAAUUACUGGGCGUAAAGAGUUCGUAGGCGGAUAAGCAAGUAAGAGGUGAAAGCCCAGGGCUCAACCCUGGAACUGCCUUUUAAACUGCUUGUCUAGAGACCGGAAGAGGUUAGGGGAAUACCUAGUGUAGAGGUGAAAUUCGUAGAUAUUAGGUGGAACACCA
rnacentral:rRNA from 1 species